GGCCUCUCUCCCAUGGAGCUGUGGAGGGAGCUUUUCUCCUCAGCUAGGAUCAGAGGCCUAAACCAAGUUAGAGGUUCGUUGUCAGGGCUGCCAUGAGCUAGGCAGCCUUGUUUUCCUGCCUCUGACAUUU